GGGGGCCCGCAAGCGGUGGAGCAUGUGGUUCAAUUCGACGCAACGCGAAGAACCUUACCUGGACUCGAAAUGUAGUGGACCGGGGUGGAAACAUCCCUUUUCGCAAGAACCGCUAUAUAGGUGCUGCAUGGCUGUCGUCAGCUCGUGUCGUGAGAUGUUGGGUUAAGUCCCGCAACGAGCGCAACCCUUAUUGUCAGUUGCCAUCAUUCAGUUGGGCACUCUGGGGAAACCGCCUCGGAUAACGGGGAGGAAGGUGGGGAUGACGUCAAGUCCUCAUGGCCUUUAUGUCCAGGGCUACACACGUGCUACAAUGGUCGGUACAAACCGUCGCAAACCCGCGAGGGGGAGCUAAUCGGAAAAAGCCGACCUCAGUUCGGAUUGGAGUCUGCAACUCGACUCCAUGAAGCUGGAAUCGCUAGUAAUCGCGGAUCAGAACGCCGCGGUGAAUACGCUCCCGGGCCUUGUACACACC
rnacentral:rRNA from 1 species